ACAACCCCUUAGUAUUUUGGAUUUUUUGCGUACAUCGUGGUUUAUUUUCAGUAAAUCUAAUUGUAUUCAACAAUGGCUACAUGUUCUGUGAGUGAUUGUGGUGUUAAUAAUAGAAAUAAUCCUGAAAAUUGCACAUUUCACAGGUAAAUACCAAAAUCGUCAUCACUACCAUGACCCGUUUAUUUUUGGUUAAAAUUGGUCUUUUAUCCUGUAUUAAAUAUAAAAUAAUGCCAAUGCUGAUGUUUACUUUCAUAUUUUGUGUAUGUGGAAGUCCAUUUGUUAAUAAUUUACAUGAUUUUAGUGGAUAUAUUUUUCAUCAAUUUAUUUUACAUGUACGCUAGGGAUUGACUCAAAUUAAUCGAUAUCAUUAUCGAUAUUUUAUCUUGAAUGAUACCUAUGAAAAUAAAUGCUAGCUUGCGUUUAACGUCUCGUAUCAGAACCAUUUUGUCAGGGCAAGGUAGGUACAUCUUUUAACAAAUACAUAAACUAAUUA